rnacentral:misc_RNA from 1 species
AAGUCGUAACAAGGUUUCCGUAGGUGAACCUGCGGAAGGAUCAUUAACGAAUGAAGUUGAGCAGGGUUGUCGCUGGCCUCCGGGCAUGUGCACACCUUGUUCUACCCACCCUUCUAUACCACUGUGCACUUCUCAUGGGCUGGUUCUGCACCUUCGGGCUGCAAUCCUGCCUGUGUGCUUUAUACAUACACGUUUGUCAUAGAAUGUCUACUGUGCAUGAAUGCAUAUAAUACAACUUUCAGCAACGGAUCUCUUGGCUCUC